rnacentral:miRNA from 1 species
AUUCUGCUGCACGCCUUUCAUU